rnacentral:rRNA from 1 species
GGCGCGCCUAACACAUGCAAGUCAAACGAACAAAAGACAGCUUGCUUUCUCGAGAGAAAGACGAACUGGAGAGAAAGGCGUAAGGAUCCUGCCUCAAAGAGGGGCACGCCCUGUGGAAACGAAUGCUAAUACCACAUGACCCCACGGUGCCGCAUGGCACAGAGGGAAAAGGAGCAAUCCGCUUUGAGGUGGCCUCGUGUCCGAUUAGCUAGUUGGUGAGGUAAUGGCCCAGCCAAGGCGACGAUCGGUAGCCGGUCUGAGAGGUUGAACGCCCACAUUGGGAUUGAGACACGGCCCAGAUUCUUACGGGAGGCAGCAGUGGGGAAUAUUGCCCAAUGGGGGAAACCUUGAUGCAGAGACGCGGCGUGGAGGAAGAAGGUCUUCGGAUUGUAAACUCUAUUUGCUGGGGAAGAUAAUGACGGUACCCAACAAGGAAGUGACGGCUAAUUACGUGCCAGCAGCCGCGGUAAAACGUAGGUCCCAAGCGUUGUCCGGAAUUACUGGGUGUAAAGGGAGCGCAGGCGGGAAGACAAUUUGGAAGUGAAAUCUAUGGGUUCAAUCCAUAAACUGCUUUCAAAACUUUUUUUCUUGAGUAGUGCAGAGGUAGGCGGAAUUCCCGGGGUAGCGGUGGAAUGCGUAGAUAUCGGGAGGAACACCAGUGGGGAAGGCGGCUUACUGGGCACCAACUGACGUUGAGGCUGGAAAGUGUGGGUAGCAAACAGGAUUAGAUACCUUGGUAGUCCACCCCGUAA